ACGGUGACGCACUGGGCAACUGUCGCCGAUAUCAAAAACCGCCACUGAUACCAAGUACGUUACCUUCUUGUCCUGCGCCAUCCACAACUUACUCACAUACUCAAGUAAUGUUACUCGAGUAUUACUAUUUGAGUUGUAUUAUACUUGAUUAGUUGGGAGAAGUAUCGAGACAAGUUCUGAAAAAUGCACCGACUUCCCAGAUAAACAGAUGUCACCAUUGGAAGUCACCAAGAAACUGCAGUAAUGAUUAUUCACUUCAUUGCGGCGUUCUCCCUCUUAAGUCAUGUAGUAUCUCCAGUGAAACACUCCCUGAAGUUGAUUUUCAUUGAAUCAUCUGGAGUCCAAGACUUUGUGGGUGUCCUGUGGGCUGAUGAAACUGAGCUGGUGCACUGCAAUACCAACCUUAACAAAGCAGAACCAAAACCAAACUGGCUUAAAGAAUUCAUGAAAAGCAAUCAAGAACACAACGACUUGUACACUCAAGAGUGUCUUCAUAGUCAACAUUUUUUUAAAGACACAUUAAAUGUAUUGAGAAGGAGUUGCAGCCAAACUGAAGGUGUUCACACCCUUCAGAGAAUGUAUGGAUGUGAAUGGGACAAUGAGACUGAAGAGGUCAAAGGUUUUGAUCGAUAUGGUUAUGAUGGAGAAGACCUUAUGGAAUUUAACCAGGAGACACAGACAUGGCUCAUUUCAACUCCUUGUGCUAGCAUUGUCAAACACAAGUUAGACAAUCAGCAAAUUAGAAUAGCAGAUAUUAACCAUUACCUCACAAAUGUGUGUUCUAAAUGGCUAAAAAAGUAUCUGGACUAUGGAAAAUAUUUUCUACAACGAACAGACUGGCCCUCAGUGUCUCUCCUCCAGAAGACUCCCUCCUCUCCAGUCAGCUGCCACGCUACAGGUUUCUAUCCUGACCGAGCCGUCAUGUUCUGGAGGAAAGAUGGAAAAAAACUUUAUCAAUUGACGGACCGUGAACAGAUAUACCCUAAUCAGGACAGGACGUUCCAAAUUAAUGUAGUCCUAAAACUUUCAUCAGUCACUGUCACAACCCGGCUCAUAGGAAGUGACAAACAAAUGGGAGACCACACACAGGCUUCUAAAGGCUGUAAAACAUAUUUAAUGAAAAUAAGGUAAAGUAACUUAAACACAAUGUAAAGGACAUAACAGCCAUAACUGAAACUUCCAAACGAACAAGACGGGAGCCAGAGACAGAGCCAGUCAGAGCAAGAGAGACCCAGCUGGUUCAGUCAAAGUGUCUUUUAUAUGCACUGGGACUGGCCUACUCAGGUGUGCUGCAUCUGUAAUUGGGUCAGCUCCACCUACCUGCAAAAACAGGUAAAAGCAAAAGCAAAACACAAGGCCAGCCCACUGGCCGUCACAUCACACCUGAGGAUUGGUCAAGGUAUGACUGUGUGUUUCAGCUUUCUGCUGUCAAAGAAGACAUCAUCAUCAAACUGGACCAAAAAGUGAUCAAGAGUAACAGAGAUUAUUUAAUCUGUACAAGUCCCGAAGAGAACAAUGAUUAUUACCUCAAAGUUUUUGUGGGGUUUUUUUUUUGUUCUGCUCAUCACAGUCCUUGUUUUCAUCGUGUACAAGAUUACAGUUGACGAAAGCAAUCAAAAGAAAGACUUGGAGACUUUGAAGUACUCCCCCAUCGCUGCACUGGUUCUUGCUCUCAUCCUUUGUUGUUUAACUGGAGUUCACUUUUAUAAAACAAAUACUGAUUUCUCCGUAAUUCUUCGAUCUGAUUAUGCGUUGAAAUGGAGAGAGCCAUUACCUGGAAUACAAUGGGGACCCUGAAACAGGACGUAAUUAUAAGACCUUGACUUUACAUUAUUGAAGCAUUAAUGCAUUUGUUUUUUUAUUUACUGUUGAUUGAUGUGCACCCUAUUUUUUCGCUGACUUGUUGAAUGGACAUUAUAUGGCUCACUACUUGAAUGCAAACACAAGGCUGUGUUUGUAUAUUAUUUCAGUGCAAACUGUGUUUUGAAUUUAUCUUUGUACUGUGGAUUCAUAACUGUGUAGACUCACAAAUUAUCACGGUUAGCACUGGCCAACCGUGGGGAUGUGAGGAAGAAGGACCCAAAUGCUGGACUCUUUAUGAUAAACAGUGCAUUUAUUUACAGUGGUGUAAAUAAUCCACAGAAUAAUAAGUCCCCGUGUGUUCCCUUGACUCCCUUGUCGUGUCUUCCACCCACAAGUCCGUGCUCUUCCACUCCUGUGUGUCCCGCCACCCCGUGCUCACUGCUCUUGUCUUCCACGCUCCUUCCUGGAUAAAAUAACAAAGAAGCAACCAUCAGGAUACUCAACCACUGCAGGCAUGCACUCACUUAACUUGCCUCACAAAGACCACUGACGUGGAGUCUCACACAACAAUCCCGCGCCGAGGAGCGCUCGGCCACACUCUUAAGUAGCUCCCCGAUGAGGCUUCAUUAGCUGCAGGUGUGUGUGAUCAUCCGCUUCAGGCGUGGCCAGCCUCCAGAUGGGACACACCUACCAGGCCUGCCUGAAACCCAGUGCUCAGCCACACUCACAGACACACCCACUUGCCUAUACAUACAAGCAUGGAGAACACAAGAAUAGCAGCACAGUGCAGCAAACAUACAUCAUAUAUCAGUCCAUAACUGCUCAUGGACCCUGGAUCACUCAGAUCCAGGUCCCUGACACAAAUAAAACUAUGGGGAUGUUUGAGUAGUAAGUAAUGUUAGAGCAGAAAUGGAAAUGGGUUUAUGGCUGUCAUUUCUUCAAAGCUUGAUUUGUUUAAAAAAAAAAAAAAAGUUUUCAUCCUAAGUCUACGAGAUGGCAGCAGAGACUCUGUAAAUCUCCCUUUAGGGCUCACAGCAGAUUUUUGUCAGUGCGACUUGUCAUACAGUCCCGAUCAAAAGUUUAAAGACCAGUUGAAAAAUGGCAAAAAAAAUCAUAUUUUGCAUGGUUGGAUCUUCACAAGGUUCCAAGUCGAGCUUCAACACGCAACAAGAAGAAAUGAGACAAAACAUUUUUUGAGCAUGCAAUUUAUCGAAACCAACACUUAAACUGAAACAGGCUGUUUUACAGCUGAUCAGAAGUUUAGGACCACACCUGCAAAAAAACCCAUAAACUCCCCAAAACAGAAAUCAAAGUUCCAAACAUGAACUCAAUAAUGAGUAGCUCCACCGUUAUUGUUAAUCACUUCAAAAUUCAUUGAGGCAUACUUGAUGUAAGCGUUUCCAUGAGGUGAGUGGGAACAUUUCCCGAAGUGGUGAAGACGGCCACACGAAGGCAAUCUACUGUCUGGAACUGUUGUGUCUGGAUAUGUUCUAGCCUUUUUAAAGGUAUAAUACAAAGUGAUUAUCUUUUUGUGUUUACAAACACUGCCCCGCUCAACAAGUGAGCAGUGUCGGUCAAACCAGUUAGAAGAUAAAUAUAGAGAAGCAGCAUUAGCAAAAAGCCAUGAAUAAUACAUAAUUAUCAGAAAUGACAUGAAGUGACAAAGUAAAUAUAACAUUUUUUUUAAUCUGUCUAACUUAUAAACUUUUUAUGUUUGAUCUAUAUUAUAUAUGUGGGAUGGGAUUUAUGGGAUUUGGACAGCUGCAUUCAAAAAGAACAUAUUUCUUCUUCACAUACUAAAUGCCAAAUUCUAUAACCUGUUUGUGUGUUUUGAUUUUUGAGCUGGCUGUAUAUAUUUUUAAAAAGUGCAAAUUUGGGAGUAUGGAUUAAAACACAAAUUCAAAAAAUAAACUCUGCAUUUCCACAA